rnacentral:rRNA from 1 species
UACGAAGGGGGCUAGCGUUGCUCGGAAUCACUGGGCGUAAAGGGUGCGUAGGCGGGUCUUUAAGUCAGGGGUGAAAUCCUGGGGCUCAACUCCAGAACUGCCUUUGAUACUGAAGAUCUUGAGUUCGGGAGAGGUGAGUGGAACUGCGAGUGUAGAGGUGAAAUUCGUAGAUAUUCGCAAGAACACCAGUGGCGAAGGCGGCUCACUGGCCCGAUACUGACGCUGAGGCACGAAAGCGUGGGGAGCGAACCGG